AUGGUUAACACCAUGUUAGACACUUCGGGUCUAUCCAAGGAAUGGCGGGGGGAGGCGCUAAUGACUGCGUGUCAUGUCCUAAACCGAGUUCCCACAAAGCAUGAGACCAUGACUCCAUUUGAGGAAUGGGAAAGGAAAAGGUUGAAACUCUCUUACCUAUGUACUUGGGGUUGUUUGGCGAAAGUCAAUAUACCAAUUCCCAAGAAGCGCAAGCUUGGACCAAAAACCGUGGAUUGUGUUCUUCUGGGCUAUGCUUUUCAUAGCAUCGGCUAUAGAUUUUUGAUAAUAAAAUCUGAAGUAUCCGACAUGCAUGUUGGUACGAUUAUGGAAUCAAAUGGUGCAACUUUCUUUGAGGACAUAUUUCCUAUGAAGGAUAUGUCGAGUUCAUCAAAUCAGGAGAUACCUACUCCAUCUAGUGAGGAAUUCACUGUAAUUCCUGAACCCACCAUUGCGAUGGAACACGUUGAGAAUCCUGUUGAGGGUAACAAUGGAACUCCUGUGAGGAGUAAGAGACAGAGGACUGCAAAGUCUUUUGGUGAUGAUUUCAUUGUGUACCUCGUGGAUGACACACCCAGGACUAUUUCAGAAGCCUAUGCAUCUCCUGAUGCUGACUACUGGAAGGAAGCUGUACGUAGCGAGAUGGAUUCCAUCUUAGCUAACGGUACCUGGGAGAUCACUGACCGUCCUUAUCGGUGCAAACCUGUAGGAUGUAAGUGGGUGUUCAAGAAGAAGCUUAGACCUGAUGGUACGAUUGAAAAGUACAAGGCAUGGCUUGUGGCCAAGGGUUAUACCAAGAAAGAAGGUGAAGACUUCUUUGAUACUUACUCACCCGUGGCUAGACUGACCACAAUUCGGGUGCUACUAUCACUGGCUGCCUCACAUGGUCUUCUCGUUCAUCAAAUGGACGUUAAGACGGCUUUCCUCAAUGGAGAGUUGAAGGAGGAAAUUUACAUGGAACAGCCAGAUGGUUUUGCAGUACCUGGUCAGGAAGGAAAGGUGUGCAAGUUAUUAAAGUCUUUAUAUGGCCUUAAACAAGCUCCUAAGGAGUGGCAUGAGAAGUUCAAAAGAACAUUAACUACUGCCGGCUUUGUAGUAAAUGAUGGUGACAAGUGCAUGUACUAUCGCUAUGGUGGGGGCGAAGGAGUUAUUCUUUGCCUGUAUGUCGACGACAUAUUGAUCUUUGGAACCAAACUUGAUUUAAUCAAGGAGGUUAAGGAUUUCUUAUCUCGCUGUUUUGAGAUGAAGGAUCUAGGAGUAGCUGAUGUUAUCUUAAACAUCAAGCUGUUGAGAGAUGAGAAUGCGAGUGCCACGAGGCCUGACAUCUCUUUUGCUGUGAGCAAGCUGAGUCGGUUUGUGUCAAAACCGGGAGAUGAUCAUUGGAAUGCGCUUGAGAGAGUUAUGCGCUAUUUGAAAGGCACCGCGAGCUAUGGGAUUCACUACACCGGGUAUCCAAGGGUACUGGAGGGUUAUAGUGACUCAAACUGGAUAUCUGAUGCUGAUGAGAUUAAGGCCACAAAACUCACAGCAUUAGACACUGCCACUGUUGAAGCAGAGUGGCUUCAUGAACUCUUGAUGGACUUACCUAUGGUUGAAAAACCAAUACCCCCUAUCCUGAUGAACUGUGAUAAUCAAACUGUGAUCGUUAAGAUAAACAGUUCUAAGGACAAUAUGAAGUCCUCAAGGCAUGUGAAGAGGAGACUAAAAUCUGUCAGAAAAUUGAGGAACUCCGGAGUUAUUACGUUGGAUUAUAUCCAAACGUCGAAAAACUUGGCAGAUCCCUUCACAAAGGGUCUAUCACGUAAUGUGAUAGAUAAUGCAUCGAUGGAGAUGGGUUUGAGACCCACC
rnacentral:rRNA from 1 species